rnacentral:rRNA from 1 species
CCUACGGGUGGCAGCAGUGAGGAAUAUUGGUCAAUGGGCGCGAGCCUGAACCAGCCAAGUAGCGUGAAGGAUGACUGCCCUACGGGUUGUAAACUUCUUUUAUAAAGGAAUAAAGUGAGGCACGUGUGCCGUUUUGUAUGUACUUUAUGAAUAAGGAUCGGCUAACUCCGUGCCAGCAGCCGCGGUAAGACGGAGGAUCCGAGAGUUAUCCGGAUUUAUUGGGUGUAUAGGGAGCGUAGGCUGUGAGUUAAGUCAGCGGUGAAAUGCCCCCGCGCAACGGGGGGAAGUGCCAUUGAUACUGCGUUGCUGGAAUGCGGAUGCCGUGGGAGGAAUGUGUGGUGUAGCGGUGAAAUGCAUAGAUAUCACACAGAACACUGAUUGCGAAGGCAGCUGACGAAUCCGCGAUUGACGCUGAUGCACGAAAGCGUGGGUAUCAAACAGGAUUAGAUACCCCAGUAGUC